UGGAGCACCGCCUUUAAUCGAGCAACUCGACCCCGGAACUUAUUCUAUUGUAAGCCCAGUACUUAUUCUAUCGGUUUCUUUUGCCGAACCGCUAAGUGACGGGGACACAAACACACCAGCAUCGGUUGUCAAGCAAUGCUAUGGGGACAAACACAGACACACAAACACACACACACGCAUACAUAUAUAUAUAUACAUAUAUACGACGGGCUUCUUUCAGUUUCCGUCUACCAAAUCCACUCACAAGGCUUUGGUCAGCCCGAGGCUAUAGUAGAAGACACUUGGCCAAGGUGCCACGCAGUGGGACUGAACCCGGAACCAUGUGGUUGGUAGACAGGCUACUUACCACACAGCCACUCAUAAAUACAAAGAUAGAGGAAACAGGCUUUAAUUGCAAAUUACAACAUUUGUUUCUUUGCCAAACACCAGCUUUAAGCUGCUGAGUUUUUAUUUAUAUGUCAUUCCAUAAAAUUAUUCUAUAUCUGAAUGAAAAUUUAGCAACUUAAAGCUGGUGCCUGGUGUAGAAACAAACGUAAUUUGCAAAUGAAGCCUGUUUAUUUUUUCCACCUUUGUGAUAUAUAAAUUUUUAUAUUUAUACCAUAGCAGAGUUCCACAUGUUUAUCCAACCUUGGAAAAAAUCUUGCUGCAAGAUGGCAUGUGGUAACCAGUAUAGGAACUUUCAAACGCCUGUUGAGGUUGUUACCCAAAUUAUAUUGAAUACAUAUAGUAAGAGGAGGGAUAUAAUAUCCUGGCGGAUACCAAAUUUUUCUGUGUAAAAUGCAGAGGCUGGUUCCUUCAGAUGGUGUGUUUUUGGUAAACAUGUGUUGGACAAUUAUUAUGAAUAAACUAACUGGAAAUAAACAAAGUUCAAAUUCUUCAUUCUUGUUAUUAUUGAUCUCAAGUAUAAUCAGCCGAAAUUGCAAAGAUAAUCUGGUACUUGACUGAGGAAAGAAAACUUUGAAUGACCCGUCUUUGUUUUCUUUGUAUCAUCUAUCUGGAUGUUUCGUUGUCCCAUUUUUGUAUCACCUAAGCUGUCCAGAUGUUUUGCGUUCUUGUCUCAUUUAAAAUUUUAUAUGUGUGUACACACACACACACACACACACACACACACACACACAAUUGGUAAGUGGUUGUAGUUUUGUUAGUGGGGCUCUUGUUUUUCUGCCACAAACUGAUGAACUGAUGUUAAUAAUGUCAAAAUAUCAUAAACAAACAUCUUCACUGUCAUUGCUUUAACAUUUUUUUCUCCCUUUCCACUGUUAGUAUGAGUUGAACAGGUUUGUAUGCAAAUUUACACUCGUCUUGUCUCAUCUCAUACUGUCUCCUAUCAUUGUACACUCCCUGUUCAUCCUAUGUGAUUUCCCAUCAUCCCCUUUUUAUCUCACUCUGCCUCAUCCCAUCCCCUGCCGUUUUUCAUCUUAAUCUUAUUCCCUCCUGUCUCAUCCCACCUCUUCUGUUACUCAGCAAACAUUGCUUGCUUCACCCCAUGUGUUGAGCCUCAUCUAGUCUCUACUUGUUAGACCACAUUGCCCUUUCCCGGAUUCUCUGACGUGUAUAAUCCUCCCUGUAUAAGAUGCUGGUACCGUGCAGGAUUACUUAUUCUUACCAGUUGAGUGGACAUGAAAUGAAGUGUUUCGCUCAAGAACAUCACACAUCGCCUGAUCCAGGAAUUGAAACCACAACCUUAUUAUCAUGAGUCCAAUACCCUAACCACUAAGUCAUGCACCUCCUACUCAUAUUGUCUCAUCACAUCCUCUCCCUAUCCAUCCUGUGUCAUCUCUCACCAUAUUCUGUCCCCUUUCAUCUCAUCCUUCCUUGUCCCAUCCUUUGUCCCCCUUGCACUUCAUCCCAUCUCCUCUCAACUCUGAAGCCCUGAUCUCUUUACUCUUUCCCUCUCGGGCUUCACUACCAUUUGUCACUCAGCAAACCUUGUCCCCUUCCCAUCAUGUGUUCCUGUGCUAACAUUUACUCUCUUUUUCUCUAUUCCAUAGGUGCACCUAGAAUGUUGUCAUUGGCUCAGGGAUAUGGAAUCUACCUGUUCUGAUCUAAUGUCUACGUGGCACACCAACGUCAGUUCCACUCAUGUCGCCAGGACUUCUAAACUUAACAAUAAGGAUUACUUCAGGAAAAGAACCCACAUGAAUCACAACCAAAACAACAACAACAACAAAAACAAUCUUUAAAAAAAAUCACAGAAAAAGAAAAAAAAAUAAUAAAACAACUAGGAUCUACAAUUUAAGCCGAUCAGAACCAUACUACCACCAACACUUUCGUGUCGGGGGUGGUAGCAGCCCGUUGCCUACAUGCAGAUUUCAUCGUUAACGAGACAACCGCCUGCCGUUCAGCCAAGCUUGCUGUAUUGCAGCUGUCGGUACCGUGAAUGUCUACUUCAGCACCAUCACCACCACCACCACCACCACCACUACCACUACCAUCAUGCUCUUCACUCUACGAGAACUUGUACAAUGGAUUGGUCUGACGGCCUUUGAGAUCUGGAUGCACCUGAUAGCGGUGUUUGUCUUCUCUAUAAUGGCUGCACUGAAGUACGAACGCGUGAUGGAUACGUCGUGGUGGAUGGUGUUUGCACCCAUGUUCGCCAUCGACGCCAUCGAUGCUUACUUCAUCAUCAUCGUGUUCAUCCGAACUAUAAAAGAACUGGACCUGCUACGUCCAGCCGGCAUCCGACUGGUCUCAUCCUUGCUAGUUGUCAUGCUGAUCUUUAUAUUCAAAACACUACUGUGCCAGAAACUAAGCCAUGAAAAGAUGAUCUCGUGUUCUGAGAUAAUGAUUCCCUUGUUUAUACUGUUACAGAUUAUCAUGUUUCGGGCCUGCCAAGUACACUAGCCUUUCAAAUGCCACAGUCUACUGUAAUAUUUGUAUAUAUAUAUAAUGACUGGUCGAAAAAAAAAAAAAAAAAAAAAAAAAUUUAGGAGUUAUAUAUUUAUAUAUAAUAAAUUUGCGAGCUUCUGUGAGUGACUGCGUUUGUAUGCUUGUGUGUGUAUAUGCUGUCGCAUGUGUGUGGAUCUCUCUCUCUCUCUUUCCUUUCCUUUAUGCAUUAUAAAUGUAUCUAUAUGUAUGUAUAUAUAUGUGUGUGUAUAUAUAUAUAUAUAUAUAUACAUGCACACACAAUUAUAUAUGCUUAUCAUAAAUUUAAUGUAGAUAGGUAUAUAACAUGUGUAUGUGUAUAUAUAUAUACAUACGCACACUUACAUGUAUGUACAUGAAUAUAUAUAUAUAUAUAUAUACAUACACACUCAAAUGUAUGUAUAUAUAUAUACACACACAUAUACAUAUAAUUUUGUGUGUAUGUGUAUAUAUAUAUACAUACACACACAUAAAUAUAUACAUAUGUAUAUAAUGUGGGUGGGUGUAUACAUACAUAUAUAUGAUGUAUAAAGCAUAUGCAUAUAUUCCCCACUUUUUUUUUUUAUGAUCCCAUCCCCUUUUUUUAUUCCUAUAAAACACUGAUGUUAUGAAAGUUUCUAAAAUAUUUUUUUUUUUCUGUGUGCAUGUGUGCGCAUGUUUUUUUUUGUUUUUUUUUUUUUGAAUGGUUGUUUUUCUUUCAGCAGAUCAGUGAGUUUUUUUUAAACCAAGAUGGAUGAAUUGAUGAUGAUGAUGAUGAUGACAAUGAUGCUGAUGAUGAUAAUAAUAAUUCUUUGAUAUUUCUGAUUGGUGUUUUUUUUUUUGUUUUGUUUGUUUUCUAAAAAAAAAUUUUUUUGAUGAUUCACUAAAGAAUUCUUCUUGUAAUUAAAAAAAAAAAAUGGUUUCUUGUUAUUUAUUGCAAAGAAAGAAAGAAAAAAAGAGUCUUGCUGCUAUUUUUUUGUUGUCAUUGCUGUUGCUGCUGCUUUUCUUCCACUUCAUUCAAGAUACUGUCCAUGGCAAAAAAAAAAAUAAAUGGUGGCGGGGGGAGGGGCAGAGAAAGAAUAUAUAUAGGCAUGUAUAUUUAUAUAUAUAUAUUGGCAUAUAUAGAUAAAUAUAUAUAUUGAUAUAUAUAUAUAUUGGCAUAUAUAUAUAUAUAUAUAUAACACAGAGAAAGAAAGAAGAAAACGAUGAAAUAUGAAGAGUGUAUGAGAAGAGGAGGAGGUGACAGAUGAACCGAUCUAGUGCCUUCAGAUGCUGCUUUUGUGGUUGUGCUAGGAUCCAAAAUUCACCGUGUUCCCAGUUCCGACAUCACCUGCUGGCCAGAGGUUCAGAAACCAAACACAUAACUGCGUAAACCUUUUAACCUUUAAAACUCUGAUUAUAUUUCAGGGCUGGUAUUUCCUUUUUCAUAUAUUUUCAUUUUGUAUUAUGAUUAUUAUUAUUAUUAUUAUUGUUGUUGUUGAUGCUGGGUGAGGAUUUUUUCUCUUUUUUUUUGUUGUUGUUGUUGUCUUUAUGGGAGAGAGGUGAUGGUUCUUUUUCUUGCUUUUCAAGUUUACAUUUUUCAAUUUAUUAAAGAUUCUUUAAAAGAAAAAAAAAAGAGUGUGGCAAGAUACACAGACAACACAUAAGCACACACAUGCAUGUACAUACAGGCGAAUAAAUUUGUCAGAAUCAAAGGCAAUCAAAAGAAAUUCUCCCCCAGUAGUAUUUAAUCUAAGUUAUAAGUCUGAAUAUAGUUAAUGGAAUGAGAUGAUCGGGCGUGGUUGUUUGGACUCUGACAAUGUGCACAACUGACUGGACAUUGAGCGACAGUACUUUUUGGCCCUAGAGAGAGAGACAAACACACACAUACAGAUA
rnacentral:lncRNA from 1 species